AUUGAACGCUGGCGGCAUGCCUUACACAUGCAAGUCGAACGGCAGCACGGGAGCAAUCCUGGUGGCGAGUGGCGAACGGGUGAGUAAUAUAUCGGAACGUGCCCAGUCGUGGGGAUAACGUAGCGAAAGCGUACGCUAAUACCGCAUACGAUCUAUGGAUGAAAGCGGGGGGAUCGCAGACCUCGCGCGAUUGGAGCGGCCGAUAUCAGAUUAGGUAGUUGGUGAGGUAAAGGCUCGCCAAGCCGACGAUCUGUAGCUGGUCUGAGAGGACGACCAGCCACACUGGGACUGAGACACGGCCCAGACUCCUACGGGAGGGCA
rnacentral:rRNA from 1 species